AUCCAGAUGACGAGUCCCGAAUAGGACGAAAUGUGCGUUAUCCUGGAU
rnacentral:hammerhead_ribozyme from 1 species